rnacentral:rRNA from 1 species
CCUACGGGAGGCUGCAGUAGGGAAUAUUGCUCAAUGGGGGAAACCCUGAACCAGCAACGCCGCGUGGAGGAUGACGGUUUUAGGAUUGUAAACUCCUUUUGUUAGAGAAGAUUAUGACGGUAUCUAACGCAUAAGCACCGGCUAACUCCGUGGCAGCAGCCGUGGUAAUACGGCGGCUGCAAGCGUUACUCGGAAUCACUGGGCGUAAAGAGUGCGUAGGCGGGGUAAUAAGUCAGAUGGGAAAUACUUGAGCUUAACUUCAGAACUGCAGUUGAAACUGGUACUCUAGAGUGUGGGAGAGGUAUGUGGAAUGCGUGGUGUAGGGGUGAAAUGCGUAGAGAUCAAGAGGAAUACUGAUUGCGAAGGCGGCCUGCUGGAACACUACUGACGCUGAGGCACGAAAGCGUGGGGAGCGAACAGGAUUAGAUACCCCUGUAGUC